GUGAACGCUGGCGGUAGGCCUAACACAUGCAAGUCGAACGGCAGCACAGUAAGAGCUUGCUCUUACGGGUGGCGAAUGGCGGACGGGUGAGGAAUACAUCGGAAUCUACUUUUUCGUGGGGGAUAACGUAGGGAAACUUACGCUAAUACCGCAUACGACCUACGGGUGAAAGCAGGGGAUCUUCGGACCUUGCGCGAUUGAAUGAGCCGAUGUCGGAUUAGCUAGUUGGCGGGGUAAAGGCCCACCAAGGCGACGAUCCGUAGCUGGUCUGAGAGGAUGAUCAGCCACACUGGAACUGAGACACGGUCCAGACUCCUACGGGAGGCAGCAGUGGGGAAUAUUGGACAAUGGGCGCAAGCCUGAUCCAGCCAUACCGCGUGGGUGAAGAAGGCCUUCGGGUUGUAAAGCCCUUUUGUUGGGAAAGAAAAGCAGCAGGUUAAUACCCCGCUGUUCUGACGGUACCCAAAGAAUAAGCACCGGCUAACUUCGU
rnacentral:rRNA from 1 species